GACGUAGUGCGCGAGCGUUGUCCGGAUUUAUUGGGCGUAAAGAGCUCGUAGGCGGCUUGUUGCGUCAGCUGUGAAAACCCGCAGCUCAACUGUGGGCUUGCAGCUGAUACGGGCAGGCUUGAGUUCGGUAGGGGAGACUGGAAUUCCUGGUGUAGCGGUGAAAUGCGCAGAGAUCGGGAGGAACACCCGUGGCGAAGGCGGCCAGCUGGGAUGCACCUGACACUGAGGCGCGAAGGCGUGGGGAGCGAACGGG
rnacentral:rRNA from 1 species